rnacentral:rRNA from 1 species
AGUGAACGCUGGCGGUAGGCCUAACACAUGCAAGUCGAACGGCAGCACAGUAAGAGCUUGCUCUUACGGGUGGCGAGUGGCGGACGGGUGAGGAAUACAUCGGAAUCUACUUUUUCGUGGGGGAUAACGUAGGGAAACUUACGCUAAUACCGCAUACGACCUACGGGUGAAAGCAGGGGAUCUUCGGACCUUGCGCGAUUGAAUGAGCCGAUGUCAGAUUAGCUAGUUGGCGGGGUAAAGGCCCACCAAGGCGACGAUCCGUAGCUGGUCUGAGAGGAUGAUCAGCCACACUGGAACUGAGACACGGUCCAGACUCCUACGGGAGGCAGCAGUGGGGAAUAUUGGACAAUGGCGCAAGCCUGAUCCAGCCAUACCGCGUGGGUGAAGAAGGCCUUCGGGUUGUAAAGCCCUUUUGUUGGGAAAGAAAAGCAGCAGGUUAAUACCCCGCUGUUCUGACGGUACCCAAAGAAUAAGCACCGGCUAACUUCGUG